CUGACUCAAUGGGAUGUCUGGACUGAACCAGAGGCAAGAACCUCUCCUCCCAAGCAGAGAGGAUUCCUGGGAGAAGCUCAUGCUGGAAUGCAGAAGGGAGUGGGCAAACCCAAAACACUGAGGCAUCAAACACACCAGAGGUGGCUUUUUGGUUCCCUCCUGCAGAUAGAUUAUGCAGACAUGUUCAGCAUAUGGAGCAGAGCAGAUCCAAACUCUGUUCAAUCAAAUGCAAAGUGCCUUCAUGUGCUGCUGCUUCAGAGUGUGAACUCCCAGAGAAGGCAAUGCAUUGAAGUGUAUUAUGAACUGAGAGCAUGAAAACACCCAGGUAGUCUUGGAAAAAUGGUUAAUCAGUCUGGAGCUGUUCUGCUGCCUGCUCUUUUAACAGCUGUCCAAGUGCGCAGGAAGAGUCGAACCAACACUACAACCUGGCCAGCUCUGCUCACUUGGGUCCUACAACCUAAACACAGUGCACUAAAG